rnacentral:rRNA from 1 species
AUGCGGCUUGGGUUUCUAGCAUUGUUAUAGGUUCUUUCCUGAAUCAUAGGGGUAAGAAGCGAACUCGGGGAACUGAAACAUCUAAGUACCCGAAGGAAAGGACAUCAACCGAGACUCCGUAAGUAGUGGCGAGCGAACACGGACCAGGCCAGUGGCAAUGAGGAAUAAAGCGGAACAAGUUGGAAAGCUUGGCCAUAGUGGGUGACAGCCCCGUACGCGUAGAACACUCAUUGUCCUAGAGUAGGGCGGGACACGUGAAAUCCUGUUCGAACAUGGGGAGACCACUCUCCAAGCCUAAGUACUCGUGCAUGACCGAUAGCGAACAAGUACCGUGAGGGAAAGGUGAAAAGCACCCCGACAAGGGGAGUGAAAUAGAACCUGAAACCGGAUGCCUACAAACAGUAGGAGGGCGAAAGCCUGACUGCGUACCUUUUGUAUAAUGGGUCAACGACUUAGUGUAACUAGCAAGCUUAAGCCGGUAGGUGUAGGCGCAGCGAAAGCGAGUGUUAAUAGCGCGAUUGAGUUAGUUGCAUUAGACCCGAAACCGAGUGAUCUAGCCAUGAGCAGGUUGAAGGUUGGGUAACACCAACUGGAGGACCGAACCCGCAUCUGUUGCAAUAGAUUGGGAUGACUUGUGGUUAGGGGUGAAAGGCCAAUCAAACUCGGAAAUAGCUGGUUCUCCGCGAAAACUAUUUAGGUAGUGCGUCGAUCGAAUACCUCAGGGGGUAGAGCACUGGAUGGGCUAUGGGGACUCACCGUCUUACUGAUCCUAACCAAACUCCGAAUACCUGAGAGUACUAAUCGGCAGACACACGGCGGGUGCUAACGUCCGUCGUGAAGAGGGCAACAACCCUGACCUCCAGCUAAGGUCCCCAAGUCAUGGCUAAGUGGGAAAGGAUGUGAGGAUCCCAAAACAACCAGGAUGUUGGCUUAGAAGCAGCCAUCAUUUAAAGAAAGCGUAACAGCUCACUGGUCUAAAUAAGGGUCUUUGCGCCGAAAAUGUAACGGGGCUAAAGCCAUGCACCGAAGCUGAGGAUGUGCAGUAAUGCACGUGGUAGCGGAGCGUUCCGUAAGCCUGUGAAGGGACAGUCGUGAGACAUCCUGGAGGUAUCGGAAGUGCGAAUGUUGACAUGAGUAACGAUAAAGGGGGUGAGAGACCCCCUCGCCGAAAGACCAAGGGUUCCUGCUUAAAGUUAAUCUGAGCAGGGUUAGCCGGCCCCUAAGGCGAGGCAGAAAUGCGUAGUCGAUGGGAACCACGUUAAUAUUCGUGGGCCUGGUGGUAGUGACGGAUCACACAAAUUGUACAGUCUUACUGGAUUGAUUGUGCAGUGGAGUGGUUCCAGGAAAUAGCUCCACCGUAUAGACCGUACCCGAAACCGACACAGGUGGUCAGGUAGAGUAUACCAAGGCGCUUGAGAGAACUAUGUUGAAGGAACUCGGCAAAUUGCACGCGUAACUUCGGAAGAAGCGUGACCCCUUUUUACGCAAGUGGAGAGGGGUGGCACAGACCAGGGGGUAGCGACUGUUUAUCAAAAACACAGGGCUCUGCGAAGUCGCAAGACGACGUAUAGGGUCUGACGCCUGCCCGGUGCUGGAAGGUUAAGAGGAGAGGUGCAAGCUUUGAAUCGAAGCCCCAGUAAACGGCGGCCGUAACUAUAACGGUCCUAAGGUAGCGAAAUUCCUUGUCGGGUAAGUUCCGACCUGCACGAAUGGCGUAACGACUUCCCCGCUGUCUCCAACAUAGACUCAGUGAAAUUGAAUUCCCCGUGAAGAUGCGGGGUUCCUGCGGUCAGACGGAAAGACCCCGUGCACCUUUACUAUAGCUUUACACUGGCAUUCGUGUCGGCAUGUGUAGGAUAGGUGGUAGGCUUUGAAGCUUGGACGCCAGUUCGAGUGGAGCCAUCCUUGAAAUACCACCCUUAUCGUCAUGGAUGUCUAACCGCGGUCCGUUAUCCGGAUCCGGGACAGUGUAUGGUGGGUAGUUUGACUGGGGCGGUCGCCUCCGAAAGAGUAACGGAGGCGCGCGAUGGUGGGCUCAGACCGGUCGGAAAUCGGUCGUCGAGUGCAAUGGCAUAAGCCCGCCUGACUGCGAGACUGACAAGUCGAGCAGAGACGAAAGUCGGUCAUAGUGAUCCGGUGGUCCCGCGUGGAAGGGCCAUCGCUCAACGGAUAAAAGGUACGCCGGGGAUAACAGGCUGAUGACCCCCAAGAGUCCAUAUCGACGGGGUUGUUUGGCACCUCGAUGUCGGCUCAUCGCAUCCUGGGGCUGGAGCAGUCCCAAGGGUUGGCUC